rnacentral:rRNA from 1 species
AUUGAACGCUGGCGGCAUGCCUUACACAUGCAAGUCGAACGGCAGCACGGGAGCAAUCCUGGUGGCGAGUGGCGAACGGGUGAGUAAUAUAUCGGAACGUGCCCGGUCGUGGGGGAUAACGUAGCGAAAGCUACGCUAAUACCGCAUACGAUCUACGGAUGAAAGCGGGGGAUCGCAAGACCUCGCGCGAUUGGAGCGGCCGAUAUCAGAUUAGGUAGUUGGUGAGGUAAAGGCUCACCAAGCCGACGAUCUGUAGCUGGUCUGAGAGGACGACCAGCCACACUGGGACUGGGACACGGCCCAGACUCCUACGGGAGGCAGCAGUGGGGGAAUUUUGGACAAUGGGCGCAAGACCUGAUCCAGCAAUGCCGCGUGCAGGAUGAAGGCCUUCGGU